rnacentral:tRNA from 1 species
GACGAUGUAGAAUUUUUAACGUGACACAGAAUUCUGAACGCUCUCAUUCAUAAUGCGAAGGUCGUAGGUUCGACUCCUAUUAUCGCACCA